rnacentral:misc_RNA from 1 species
AAAGUCGUAACAAGGUCUCCGUUGGUGAACCAGCGGAGGGAUCAUUACCGAGUUUACACUCCCAAACCCCCUGUGAACCUGUACCUCAGUCGUUGCUUCGGCGGGCUUUCGCCCCGGACGCCGCGCUGCCCUCCGGGGGGCUCGGCGCCGGAACCAGGCGCCCGCCGGGGGACCCAAACUCUCCUGCAUAUCACAGCGCAUGUCUGAGUGGAUUUUAGUAUCAAAUGAAUCAAAACUUUCAACAACGGAUCUCUUGGUUCUG